UUAACAUGAUUAACUUUAUACCGCCCCAGUCUGAUUUCUGUGACUGAUUGGUUUACUCAAUGAUUUUGU